UUUUGUUUUUGUUUAAUUAAGUUUUAAAACCUUAAUCCCUAAAGAGAGCUACAUCGUAUAAUAUAAAAUGCAGAGCAAACAGCUUGUUAUUUCUGAAUGUUGAUAUUAAAUAUCUGAUUUAUUAAUAUCUCAUUUUAUCUAGCCAUUUUUAGUGCAGGGAGGGAGAUUACCUUGAAUGCUCUAGCUUCAGCUGCAUCCAAGUAUGACCUGCAGUUCAAAUCAGCUCCUGCUGGGGUAAAAGUGCCAAAAGGAUCCUAAAUAAGAGCAGCUGAACAAUAUAUGUAAGGAAUUAAACUUUUUAGGAAAACCUGACACGCACUAAGCAAACCAAAAGCAAGGAAAACUAAAUGUGAAACUGUAAGUGACUCCUACGAGAGGUGGCAGAGGACAGCAUUUUGGUCAGAGACCCAGGCCACACCACAUCCCUCCUCUAAAGCCCAGCCGUGUUCAAUUGCCUGAAGGCUCCAAAUCACCUAAAUGGGCAAGCAUAUCCCAUUUCACUCCCUGCUCGUGCUUCCUGGAGCAAGCAGGAAUUAUAAAUAGGUGUUACCGUAAACCUCACCCCUUGCUCUGGAUUUUGGAUAGUAGGCCAGAUCCAGCUGCACAAGAAGAAAUUUUAUGGGGUCAGUGCAGCUCCUGGCAACAUCAGCGGGACUUCUGCAACUAAUGUCGAGGACAAGGGAUUGACUGAGGCCUAUCAAAGUGCACAUGGGAUUGCAGAGUUCCCAGAUAUUUAUUCCAUGUAUGCUGAGUGAAGUUCAACAAGUCACUGACUGUGUCUUCAGAGAUGCUGAAUACCUUGAAACCCACCAGUUUCAGUGGGAUUUGUGAAGUCAAAGACAGCUCAAAGCUUCUCAGCAUGGGAAGCAAAAUUAAAUUUUGCUGCAUGAAAAAAUGAAGUCAAGAGAAAGUUCACUUCUGUCUCAGGAGAGGAAAAGGAGGGAAGGGGAAGAAGGAGGAAUUUCACUGGAGAGCCAGAGAAAGAGCUCCAGGGAGCCAGGAUUUCUGCAUCAGGUGUUGCCAGCAGGGGACAGAGAAUCACACUACCACCAGGGGACUGCUCGUUUGCCACUUCACAGUCCGUCUCCUCUGCCCCAGUGCCUGUUUUCAGACCAAGAGACUGACAUGAUCUGUCAAGAUCGAGACACAGAAAAGCUGCGCACAUCAGUGUCAGUGCUCUGUCUGGCUGCUGAGACUGAUCUUCGUCUGCUAAGGCCUGGGUUCUUCAAAACAACCUGCCAAGGCAGCAGAGUACAGCUGGGAGUCAGACUUCUGCCCAAUUUCAGCUUUAGAGUAUGUGGCCAGAAUCCCACCUGUCGGUAUGUAAAUCUCAUCUGCUUUACAGCAGUCACAUUCAGCAAUACUUGGGCAGUAAGCAUACUACAUUUCUCUGUAGUAACUGGUUAAAACAAAACUUAGAGUCUUGAAUCCCAUUCUGAUUUCAUUUACACUAAAUUAGUCUGGAUGUCUUUGAUUAACGAAAAGAAAUUAGAUAUGAUCAGUCACAGGGGUGGAGAAUAUUUUUCAACUCAUUGGCUCAGGCUCCAGCUGGAUAAACUGGCAUAAUCUCAUCGACUUCGAUGGAGAAAAACUAUGGGUCAGCUGUGUCAAUGGCACAGAGAUACAACUCCCCUUAAUUUAGGGCUGACUGACUGCAUCCACAGAGAGUAUUAUCCUCACUGUAUUUCUAGACAACAGUUUAUGGAAACAAGACCCUGUGGUGCAGCUAAGCAGCUCAAGAGAACAGGCAAGGGGAUGAGAGUCAAAAUGCUGCUCUCUGAGCUGCACAAUGCUGGGGAGGAGUGGGGCAACGCUUGGUCCUUGGCACAACUGACACCAGACUCAGAAGUCUUGUGCUUUAGGCAAAGUUGUCGGUGCCUAAAAAACACACCAUAAUUUAAGGAUGAACAGCCCUGUUCUAACCUCUUCCCUUCCACUUCCAGAAAGCUGGAGCACAAUUAUUGUAAUGCCAGGAGAGAUACUCGCCCCAUAAAAAAAUCCCGAGGGAAGCGCACUCCAUGGAUAGGCUGGUGCAAAGCAGGCAGAGGACGAAGAUUUAGGGCUGCUGGCUCUCACAACAGCUGUAGUUUGGAAUUCACGGUAUAAAAGAUUUAGCUUGUCUUACUUGUACUUUAUUUAUUUCAGUUACCCUUACAUUUUUCAUAUAUUCCCCUAGGAGCUGCCAAUGUGUUUUUAGUUAUUCAAAUACGUGCGCCUGUGUGUUAUAUUUUCCAUCCCCUUAGUUAAGAAGAAUAUGCUUCUUCUUUACGAAGUAGAUAACUGAAUUUGGAUCUCAAACUAUUUUUAACAAAGCAGCAGUUCAUUGUGGCGAUUACCACACAUGCACAUUAGAAGCCAAGUGCCAAAUACUCCUGCUCAAUUUCUUUAACAGCUGAAAGAAAUCAUUUUUUAAAAUAUUCUGCUAACAGCUGAAUGGCUUUCCUUCAGGCUUCUGGGAUAAGGUGGAUAUAUAAGUUUGCAGCCUAAAAUAACCAAAAAGUAGUCACAGCAAACACAGACUUUAGACAUAAUGUGAUAUCUAUAUUAUAACUGUAGCAACCUCAGAGAGUAAAUUACCCAGUUACAAUGGUAAUACUGUAUAUUGGUAUAGCAACUUCCAUCCAGAGCCUUCAAAAUGCUUUGAUGGAAUAUUAGUCAUCAUGGCAUUCCUGAUGAACAGUUGUCAUUGUCCUCAUUUCAGAGAUCAAAACACUGCAACACAUCAUGAUUUAAAUGUCUUGCUAGCUUCACUUAAGAAAUCUGUAGCAGAGCCAUGAAACAUGUCCAGAUAUGAGGACCUCACAUUUUAAACUCUCAGUCUAAAGUCUUACUCUUCAAUGCAUCAUGUCUUUGUAUUUGAUCUUUGUCCAGAACUUCAAACUUAAUUUAAACUCUCAGUUGAAAGUCUUACCAUUCGUAUACUGUGACCCACAAUAAAACUCUGUUAAUGUAGCUGGAGACUUCGUCU
rnacentral:lncRNA from 1 species